GCGUCAAUAGUGCAAUGGGGUUAGAGCACGCGCUUCCCAGAAAGUGUGAGAUGCGGGUUCGAGUCCCGCCUGACGCG